rnacentral:rRNA from 1 species
GAUGAACGCUGGCGGCGUGCCUAAUACAUGCGAGUCGAGCGAACGGACGAGAAGCUUGCUUUUCUGAUGUUAGCGGCGGACGGGUGAGUAACACGUGGAUAACCUACCUAUAAGACUGGGAUAACUUCGGGAAACCGGAGCUAAUACCGGAUAAUAUUUUGAACCGCAUGGUUCAAAAGUGAAAGACGGUCUUGCUGUCACUUAUAGAUGGAUCCGCGCUGCAUUAGCUAGUUGGUAAGGUAACGGCUUACCAAGGCAACGAUGCAUAGCCGACCUGAGAGGGUGAUCGGCCACACUGGAACUGAGACACGGUCCAGACUCCCACGGGAGGCAGCAGUAGGGAAUCUUCCGCAAUGGGCGAAAGCCUGACGGAGCAACGCCGCGUGAGUGAUGAAGGUCUUCGGAUCGUAAAACUCUGUUAUUAGGGAAGAACAUAUGUGUAAGUAACUGUGCACAUCUUGACGGUACCUAAUCAGAAAGCCACGGCUAACUACGUG